rnacentral:miRNA from 1 species
CAUGUUUCUUGCUUAAAUGAGUAUUCCAUAGCCUCGCAUCCACGACCAUCUUGUCGUCUGCUGCUGCUUAGGGGGCCGUCAGCUUAUGGAUACUCAUUUAUGCAAGAA